rnacentral:misc_RNA from 1 species
GGGUCAGUCAUGAAGUGAUUUAUUUUCCUUUGUAUAUAGCUUGAAGCCUAUAUUGUUUCUAUUUUUAUUUUGGCAGCUGGAUGCUUGUAAUACCUUGUUUACUUCAGCUUGAUGAGGGUAGUAAAUGUUUUCUCUUUAAAGGAACAAAUUAUCUUCUGUUUGAUGAUGUUUUCCUGCGGAGAUUUCUAUCUUUUCUUUUGAUGCAAG